AACUCGCGUGUUGUCAGGCUUUCGACCGCGAGCGCUGGCGGCGAGUGCAGUGUAAAUAAAGUUUUCAACGCAUCGUUUAGGUUAUCGCGCGCCGAUCGCCGAUUAGUUUUGUAAGACUAAUUCCCGACCACGCAAGUAGAACGUCCGUUCUCAUAGGCAGGAGGCGAAAACUUUGUAGCAGCGUACAGCGUUGCAACACUAUUUCGCUCGUACCGGCCGUCGUCAAAUGAUCAGCUACCUCGUAAAGAUCGCGAGAUAUGAUGUGUGUUAUGAGCACGCCGCGAGGAGUUUCUGCGGAGAUGCUGUUUCGUAGAAGUGCAGCCGAGGCUUAUGUCCACCAGCCUGGACCAGGAUCUUUUGUUUCGCAAAGUCGCCUCGUUACCGGUGAGUUGCGAGGCCGGUCCCGUUCUAUCAAACGUGCAACCUCGGUUUGAGACGUUCUCCGACGAGGUAGGCUGAAAAAGGUUUCCAACAAGAUUGUAAUACUCAAAAUAUAUCCUUUGUUGUACAUGAAAUCGUUAAACUAAAAUUCUGAUGUUCCACAAUGAAUACAGAAAAUCAAUGACAUUACUUUAAAUUUUGAGAUCUCGUCUUCAAAAUGCUGUACUGAUCUUUAUGCAAUAGAAAAAGUUUCUUUAUCAAUUACAACAAACAAGUGCCAAACAAAAGUUUCUUUCUUUCUUUAAUCUUUUUAAUGUUAUUAAUCAUGCAAUUAUUUGCAAUGAAUGAUACGUUGAAUUUCGACGUUCUCGCUUCAGAGGAAAACGAAUUGUUCGAGUGAACGGAUUGUUUUUCUACGUCGAGAAACGGACUUUUGGCCACUGAAAGUGUAUUCGGGACCGGUGCCUAUCCCGUCGCCGCGAGGAUGCGGAAAGCUGUCCGGCCGCGUUUCGAAACCGAGCCGGAACGAUAAACGGGCCUGACGUUUCUAAAUCGUAUCGCGCGUACAAACAUAUCUACAGCUCGCGCCCGGUAAUGAUGACAAAUACGUAUCCACGAGAGCUGGUCGCCGCAAUUAAUAACCGGCGCGGACACGCCGGCCCAUUCGUCACGUUCCGCUGUACCGAAACCGUAUAUUUCAGUCGAACGACGCACGCGCACCCUUGCCGGUCCGUUUCUUUUCUACUUCGUCUUUCGAAAAAUCCGCCGGUAGGUUGCGCGAGAAACUAGAACUACAGAGGCGGAGUUUCUUACGGCGCUAGUGCUUACCGAUUUGUACAAUAAAUCCUAUCGUGUGCACCGUAGAUUGCACACUAAUUGCACAGCUGGGUUCCUUGUCACCGCUGGGUGUGGCUGGGUAAAGUAGAAUUCAGAUAAUAGCCAUUAACUUUCCUAUAAUUACAAAUGUUAGGUUAGGUUAUAAUUUAUUAGGCUAUUUAUUUAUUAGGUUAUGUUAUAAUUAGGCUAUUCAUUUCAAUCGCCUAGUGCUUCGUGUCCACGGUCCAGUAGAACCUCGAUUAUAACCUAACCUGUGACACCUAAAUCGUUUAGUAUCUGUUGUCCGAAACGAUUUUCAAGUGGACUUUAAUUUACCGUAAUGCGACGGAAAAAUCGAUGUCCACUACUUACUACUGAUGUACUUGACUAGUACAUUUGACUUGACUCGCACGUCCGACGCGUACGUUCGCCUUGUGACAUGACGUCGGGUCCCGCCUUAUAAGACAUCGAGAGUUAGGGCAAUCGGUGUCGGCGGCACGCACCCGCGAAUCUGGUUGCAGCACGCAGGCGUUUUUACAGAUGGCAGGCCUGGUAAUGGGAUCGGGUCUCCAUAAUUGAAUUUACGAACGGCCGGGUGCGCGCCCACGUCGUCCAUGUUCCUCGGGGCGCUGUCGACGUCCACGUGACGCUCGGCACCGCGGGUCGGCGCGGCGUUCUGGCGAAGGCACGAACGUGGUUAAUACGCUCGGAUUUUCACCGAACCUGAUCCACGGGAGUACGUGCGCGAACCGAAUCGGCCGCGUACAUAUCCCGCCGACGCUAACGACGGCAUAACUCGCGACCGAUAUACCAGUAUUUCUAUUAACCGUCCGGGAGCUAUCAACAAAACGGUUACAAAUUGGCGUGCGCGGGAACAGCGCGAAAGGAGGGCCGGUGGGGGAAGGGACAGGAAGCUCUUGGCGGCGUGGCCUCUCGGCUUUAGAAUGCCGCCCGUAGCCCGUGAGUGAAAUGUACCGAGAGGCCUGAGCUAUCGCGGUCCGGCGUUCUAUGGAUCGGACGUGUAGGUAAUUAAAUUUAGAAAUAGAAAUUACGGUGUAUCGAUAUGGGUGGUGGGUUCGCUAGGGGCAGUUGAUCACCGGUGCCGCCGGUAAUUGGACCGGCCGCCGGCCGGCCGGCCAAUCGGAAGAAAGGGAAGAGUUAUCGGGUACAAGGACGAUCGGUCCGCCGCAAUUAGCGACACUGAUUCCGCAGGAACGACUCUUGACGCCGCGGCACGUACCGUACACGAUCAAUUGAUAAUUCGUACGCUCGCGGCGUGAUUGAUUCGCCUUUUUUCCUCUCCGAUAGGGUUAAGGUUAUUUUGGGGUCAAGUGUGGAUAUUACUGCGGACGCCCCGAAUGCUGCGGUAUUUCGUGAAAGUAAUAAAAUCUAACAUUUCA